AGAGGGGUGCGAGCGGUUAAUCGGGAAUUACUGGGCGUAAAGACGUGCGUAGGUGGGAUAAUUAAGGUUGGAUGUGAAAUCCCCGGGGCUCAACCUGGGCAGGUCAUCCAAAACUGGUUAUCUAGAGUACAGUAGAGGGAAGUGGAAUUUCCGGUGUAGCGGUGAAAUGCGUAGAUAUCGGAAGGAACAUCAGUGGCGAAGGCGACUUCCUGGACUGAUACUGACACUGAGGCACGAAAGCGUGGGGAGCAAACAGGAUUAGAUACCCUGGUAGUCCACGCCGUAAACGAUGAGAACUAGCUGUUGGUGAUAUUAAAAUCAUUAGUGGCGCAGCUAACGCGUUAAGUUCUCCGCCUGGGGAGUACGGCCGCAAGGUUA
rnacentral:rRNA from 1 species